AUGCCAUCACACUGGAGAUUAGGCUGUCAGCACAGGCAUGUUCGGGGGGCACACACGCUCAGUCUACAGCAAACUGGAAGCGCUGGGCGUGUGCCCUCUGUGAGCUCCAUGCUCUGUGGUUCGGAUAAGACUUUCCUCUACUCGACUCUCCUUCCACUUUGGGCCACUGAGUUCUGCAUUAUGCUUGUGAGCAAGAGAUGUCUUGCCUCCCGCCUUUCAGCUUCCCACACCAGGCUGAAGUGCAAUGGUGCAAUCACAGCUCACUGCAGCCUUGACCUCCUGGCACAAGCUCUCCUCUCUCCUCAGCCUCCCGAGCAGCUGGGACUACAGCUUCAGCAUGACGCAGUCACGGUGCACUGGACCAGGGAACACCGGGACGGAAGAAGUGAACCUUGCUGUCUCCCAUUCUCUGCCAGACUCUGGUCCAGAAGUGCACAGCGUUUGCAGCCACAGCCAGUGCCAGAGCCAGGUGUGACCCUUCAUCCCCACUUCCCCGGUGAGAAAACUGAGGCCCAAAGUGGACCAACACCUAGUUAUUAUGUAUCGUGGAGGUGUCAGGAAAGGAGUGUGUGUGUGUCUGUGUCUGUGUAUAUGUGUGUGUGUGUGUGUGUCUCUGUGUGGGUGUCCAUGUCUGUGUAUGUCUCUGUAUGUCUCUGUGUUUGUCUUUGUGUGUGUCUGUGUGUAAGUCCCUGUUGUCUUUCAUGGAUCUGUGUCUGUCUCUGUGUGUAUCUGUAUCUGUGUGUCUGUGUGUAUGUGCACAGACACACGUGUGCUCAGGGUAGUGCAGGAAUAAGGACCUGCAGGAAAACGUUCUUUUUACCCGAAGUCUGUGGCAAACAUCCUUCCUUGGCUUCAAGGGCAGGCGACUGUUGGCUAUCAUGCGGCGGGGACAGCCUCGGACGGAGCAUGCCGUGUGCAGCUCAGCGCGACGAUGAGUGCUCGCUCAGACUUUGGACAUCUUAUGUCUAA
rnacentral:lncRNA from 1 species